rnacentral:pre_miRNA from 13 species
GCCCGUAUGGAAAAAUCGAUUUUUCCAUGCGGUCGCUCUCAUUUUUGCAUGCGGCCCUCUUAAGACACCCGUAUGGAAAAAUCGAUUUUUCCAUACGGGC